ensembl:misc_RNA
UGACCCGCUCUAGUGGCUAAUGAUCUUUCUGCACGGUAUAGAUCUUUGCUGAAUGACAGAACAGGCAAGAACAGCAGAAACUCAUCUACUUCCUCCCCUGCCACUGUGCCUCAGCCCUGCCUUGGCGGGACCACCUGUAAAGAUAAGACAGCUCAGUCUCCAUGGCCCAUUCUCCUCAGUCUCUC